AAUAUCGGACACUGGGGGCAACCCUGAUCCAGCCAGGCCGCGUGUGUGAGGAAGGGCUUCGGAGUGUAAAGCACUCUAAGUUGGGAGGAAAGGCUUUAUGCUACUACCCUGAAGGUUUGACGUUACUAACAGAAGAAGCACCGGCUAACUCGGUGCCAGCAGCCGCGGUAAUACAUAGGGUGCAAGCGUUAGUCGGAAUUACUGGGCGUAAAGCGCGCGUAGGUGGUUCAGUAAGAUGGGUGUGAAAUCCCCGGGCUUAACCUGGGAACUGCUUUCAUAACUGCUGAGCUAGAGUACGGUAGAGGGUAGUGGAAUUUCCUGUGUAGCGGUGAAAUGCGUAGAUAUAGGAAGGAACACCAGUGGCGAAGGCGACUACCUGGACUGAUACUGACACUGGGGUGCGAAAGCGUGGGGAGCAAACA
rnacentral:rRNA from 1 species